GUCGACCACCGUAGAAACUUGGAUGGAGUCUGGUUACUAUAGAAAUCCUACUGUCGGAGAGGCUCGGACAUUGACGAAGUUCGAAGUAAAGUCGUCCGUGGCCGGAAGAAGUUUGGAAGAGAUUCGGAGAAUAGUCGAUCACUAUAGAAAAUUGGCUGAUAGUGAAGCUCGGAAAGCGCUUGAAGCAGCUCGGUAGAUGAAUGGAGGAGCUCAUUAUCAGAGAAGUCUGAAUGGUAUUAUGGAAGCUCAGACGAUCGGGGGAGUUCGGAAAGAUGCCACAC
rnacentral:lncRNA from 1 species